rnacentral:rRNA from 1 species
UACGAAGGGGGCUAGCGUUGCUCGGAAUCACUGGGCGUAAAGGGCGCGUAGGCGGCUGAUUUAGUCGAGGGUGAAAGCCCGUGGCUCAACCACGGAAUGGCCUUCGAUACUGGUUGGCUUGAGACCGGAAGAGGACAGCGGAACUGCGAGUGUAGAGGUGAAAUUCGUAGAUAUUCGCAAGAACACCAGUGGCGAAGGCGGCUGUCUGGUCCGGUCCUGACGCUGAGGCGCGAAAGCGUGGGGAGCAAACAGG